UACGUAGGGCGCAAGCGUUGUCCGGAAUUAUUGGGCGUAAAGAGCUCGUAGGCGGCUUGUCGCGUCGACUGUGAAAUCCCGCGGCUCAACUGCGGGUCUGCAGUCGAUACGGGCAGGCUAGAGUUCGGUAGGGGAGACUGGAAUUCCUGGUGUAGCGGUGAAAUGCGCAGAUAUCAGGAGGAACACCGGUGGCGAAGGCGGUUCUCUGGGCCUUACCUGACGCUGAGGAGCGAAAGCGUGGGGAGCGAACAGG
rnacentral:rRNA from 1 species